UCUGGGUGGCAAGACAAAAUCUGCAAAUAUAUGUAGACCUGAAACUCUCACUGAAACCAGCUAACCCAUGAGCAGCGAGAUUAUCAGCCACAACAGAGUAGAUUGUCCCUUUGAGACAGUCACCUAAUGUUUCGAUGUAGAUACCCUUUUCUUCAAGGGUUUUAAGGUCACUCAAGAGAGGUGCAAGACAUUUUGCAUAUGUAGCCCAAGUGUGAAAUGCUUGAAAAAGUUCAGUGUUGGUUUUGGGAAAAAGGAUUUUGGCUUGUGUUGAAACAGGGUUGCAGUGCAUUGUAUGUUAUGAAAGGGUUAAUAUCUUGGCACCACUGGUUGACUGUGAGGGGACCAAUCAGUAACCCGAAUGGAAUAUUUGGCGCGCACUAGUUCCGCAUUCCAAUGUCCAUGUUUUCCAGUUUUCUUUGCCUCUGCACGGGUACUCUGCCUGCAUGCUGCUCAGAGAAAUAGCAAAGACCCUUUUUGUGUCAAUUGCGUGGAAAGACAUUGUAGAACGGGGCGCAUAACUAAAGCACCCGCCGACCAGCUGACGUAAAAGAGAAAAGAAGUGUGAUAACUACUCAACGGUGAGCUAUAUUGUCCGAGUUAUUUGGUUUAUUAUGUCAAAUGUUUAGAGAUGGUUGCACCUGUAUUAAGCUGAAGUUAUUUUAUCUUUGUGACCUAGUUGCUGUGAACUGUGGAUGGGGAGAAUGGUCAGGUUUUUUUUUUUUUGGUAGAAGAAAAGAAACAAACGAAACCCCUCUCAUCGGUCUGGAGUUCUUCCUGGAGGAAAUUGGAUCGGAGAUGCUCAGUGGAUGCUGGGUGGCGAGCCA